ACCCGGCCAGCUCAAGUGGUAGAGUGUGUGACUCUUGAUCUCGGGGUCGUGAGUUUGAGCCCCACGUUGGGUG
rnacentral:tRNA from 1 species